GGACGAACGGCUGGCGGCGUGCCUAAUACAUGCAAGUCGAACGGUCUUUCUAUGGAAGCUUGCUCCACUGAGAAGAUAGUGGCGAACGGGUGAGUAACACGUGGGUAACCUGCCCAUAAGAGGGGGAUAACAUCCGGAAACGGGUGCUAAUACCGCAUAGUUUUCUUGAUCGCAUGAUUGAGAAAGGAAAGACGGCCUUUGUGCUGUCGCUUAUGGAUGGACCCGCGGCGUAUUAGUUAGUUGGUGAGGUAAUGGCUCACCAAGACGAUGAUACGUAGCCGACCUGAGAGGGUGAUCGGCCACAUUGGGACUGAGACACGGCCCAAACUCCUACGGGAGGCAGCAGUAGGGAAUCUUCCGCAAUGGACGAAAGUCUGACGGAGCAACGCCGCGUGAGUGAAAGAAGGUUUUCGGAUCGUAAAACUCUGUUGUCAGAGAAGAACAAGUUGGAGAGUAACUGCUCCAGCCUUGACGGUAUCUGACCAGAAAGCCACGGCUAACUACGUGCCAGCCGCGGC
rnacentral:rRNA from 1 species